rnacentral:misc_RNA from 1 species
AAAGAUCAUGUUUGCUUUUACUAACUGCAAAACUAUUCAAAAUUACAAGUUCACAGCCAAAUCUUCAGUUUGAACUUGUACAGAGUCGGAAUAUAACAAGAGAUGAGAAAUGAUGGAAUGCCUUCAACAAUCAACGCGCAUUCUCUUUAUCACAUAUAACAAGAGAUGAGAAAUGAUGGAAUGCCUUCAACAAUCAACGCGCAUUCUCUUUAUCACAUAUAACAAGAGAUGAGAAAUGAUAGAAUGCCUUCAACAAUCAACGCGUAUUCUCUUUUAUCACUUAACAACUUAGAAGUUACAUGAAGAACGAUUUUUGGGAACAGUCAUGAAUACACAGAAGUAUUGCUGAGCCAAACGAGGUAUCCUGUGCAUCCAAGUCAAUGAACCCAUUCAAUUACUCAGUUCCUCUUACCCUAACCACCAAAUUCAUUGCAUAAUUCUGAGUGAAUCAAAGAAAAACAUAACAAUUCAUCACCCAAGAAGAAAAUCAAAGAAUUGACAAGCCUCCGGUUUUUAUUAGAUUCUGUAUCUCCAGCCACAUGCUACUUCUACACUGUUGUACCUACACGAAUAAUAAUUAAGAAAAAACAGAAUACCCCAACUGCAAAUCUGAAAACUUGCCAUCUUCUAACAAUGUAGAUUAACAUCUUUUUAAGAUGUUGCAAAGUGAUGUUAAAAAUCUUAGUUCCAUUUGCUCAUCUGACUGUUUCCCUUUGCAUCAGAAGGACGGGGAACGCUUGAGUGCAAGUCCGGGUCAUUUCAAACAGUCAAGUCUAUUCAGUUAAAAUUUGGAUUCAAAUCUGUGCACCAAUUUUACAAUAUAUUUAUUUUAUUGGGAGAAGAAGGGUAAAUAAUACCUUAAAAUAUGAUUAAUAGGCAAAAUUUCUUGUAUAUAAGAAAACUAAAUGUCAGGGGAAAAAAAAACAGACACAGAUUAAUUGAAUAUAAUAAGAGGAAAAGACAAAUUGAUAAUAACCUUCAAGGAAAAUGGAUGGUGUUUAACUGUUUAUCGACCCUAUCCCAAGAGAAAGGCCUCAUGUAACAGCAAAACAAAUAUAUGUACACCUUUUACCUCGUAUAUCAUCAUGCAGAAACAACUGGUUGAAUGAACUGCAAUGAUUUGUACAAGUAGUUAUCCAAGAGUCAACAUAGUCUGAUAAAAUACAAUAAAAUUGAUACCUCCAUGCUGUCAAUGUUGAAAACAAAAUUAACAAAUACGAAAUGACAACUACCAUAAGUGAAAAAAUAGUGAAGGUCUGAAAUAUCCUUGCAUGAAUAACACAUCUUUGCAUACCUUGGUCAAGGAGAUUAAACUGAUAAGUCACAAAAGGAUUCUUCCUUUACUCUUCAUCCUGUCAGUCAAGGAUAACAAACACCAAGACUUCAAACUGAAUCAUAACAAAAUCUCUAAGGAUGGAACCUACAAGGAAAAGUAAUUAAUCACAUUGUAACUUCAAAACUAAAGAACAGCAAAAAGGAGCUCCCUCCAUAAUGUUACAAUGGUAACAUGAUAACAUAACACACCCGCAGAUUCAAUUAAGUAGAAGUGAUGCUGACUCAAUUAGUUAAAGCAAAUCUCAAGCUUGAAAAUUGUAGAUAAAGAGAACCUUCCCAAAGAAUUUCAUUUUCUAUUCUGUUAAAGAUUACAUAAAUGGUAAAAAAGGUAAGCUCUUCAUAAAAAUUGAUCAGUCAUCAUUGUAUCAGUAAUCAACCUCGUCAAAAUGGUUGCGUGAUUUCCUUUCUCUAUAGAUAUUUUCUUUGCUUAGGCUCCAAUUGACUAGAGCCAAAAAAAUCACAAACAUAGAACUGAAUUGUCACAUCUCCUCCAAAUUGUAUUGCGGAACAAGGAUCUUAUCCCUCUUUUCCCAACCCAAAAAACUUGACGAUGAGCAUGCUAGGCCUGAAUCCAUGCCAAAAACAAGCUGAAUACUUG